CGUGAGGCCCGUCACAGCGAACAGGUGCACCUGCGCAGCGAGGCUGCGCCCCCUCGCAAGCCGCAACAACACCAGCGACAAAGACUCUUUCCGCUUCGCCACACAGUCUCCGUUUCUUUUUUCCCUUUUUGCGCUUCUCCCUCCCCCUCCACUUCUGUGCCCCCCCCCCCCCAAGCAGACACGCAGCGGCACGGACACACACUCGGCUUGUCGCGCAUCUUCCCCUUCACAGUUACCCUUCCCUCUUUGCGGGACCCCCCCCCCCCCCCCGUGCGAGGACGAGACGAUCGCGAGCAAAACGAGAUAAGCGCCCGUCUCUCGUUGGCUGUGUGUGCAUGCGUACCAUAGUGCCCCACUUCGCCUUCCUCGUCCUCUCCUGAAGCACUCGUCGUGACCACGGCCUCGUCUCCCGCACUUCUCUUCUCUAGAAUCUUUCACGACCACCACCUUAUCACGGCGCCGCUGUAGCGACAAAAAAGCGAACACGACAGCGCGAAGCGAUUCUCUUUGCUGUGCAGCGCUCUCUCACCGCGGGUGUGCUUGCGUUCAUCUGUCGCUGUUCCUUGUGCUGUGCUCUUGUACCUCUCGCUGGCUUUCCGUCUUCGUCUGUCUGUGCGUUCUCUUCUUAGUUUUUCCGUUUUCGCCCUUUCGAAGCGCUGGUGGGCAAGGAAGGAGGCGGACCUCUCUCUGUCUGUGUGACUGCCCGCGUCUUGUAACCCGCUCCGCUCUUGUGCUCCCUACGGCUCGCAACAACAACAAGAGCAACGAGGAGGAGGCGGAGGCGACACGCUUGCACACGCAGACGCAAAGCCAGAGACUGAGAGCGACCCGAUCCCGCCCCCGCCCGACCCCCACACGAACACACGCUUGCACCUUCACAGCACUUCGGUCGCGCCGCUUCCUCUUUUCGUGACCUCCAGCGCCUUCCGUGGCCCUUCGCGAAGGCGAAGAAGUAGCGCACAGAACGACUGCCGUUCUAGAUCAUAACCUCUUCUGCAUCUCUGUAUUCUUGUCAUCUCCCUAG
rnacentral:misc_RNA from 1 species